ACGAGAUAUUAAAACACUUAAACGUCGGUUACACGCACAUGCACACGCGCAAUAGCACAUUAUGUUUCCGUCGAUUCAAUACAUUGUUAGGAAGAAAAAAUAAAAUAAAAUGAUUAUAAUGCCUUUUUUUUUUUUUUCUACAGGUGAGCUUGAUGGUCAAGGCGGUCAUACACAAACAAAUGUUAUCGUAUUGCUUAGAAUAAUGCAGUAUGGAUUAGUUUAUAAAGACAAUAUUACGGCGGCGUAUUAUUUCAAUCGAUAUUAGAAUUCAUACCAACAACUACGUCUCAACAACAACAAUAAUAACAACAAUAACAACAUGAUCAGAUCGGAUUAUUAUCUACACGGUUCGGAUGACAAGAGCUGCCAGGAUUGCAGAGUUCUGAAUCUCGUAUACAAUGGAAUUCUGCCCCCUCCCCUAUACAAUGGAUAACACUCCGAUAUUGUCCUGUCACAGCAGUAAUGUCACGUAUGCGAAUCGUACUGCUGUCGCGGGACAUUUUCGGAGAUGUCGUUCAUGUACACCAGAAACUUGGCGAAUACACGCACCGAACAUCGCCGGAAUGUGAUUACACGUCGAAAGAGAUAUUUACGUUGUCGCGUACGGAAAUAUUUAAAAAAUUAACGAACGUGAUUUUUGUAUUUUUUUUUUUGCCAUUCUGUUUUACAUUCAAAAACCAAUUUUGUACAUUAAAUAGCAAUAGAACAUUAUUGCGAAUAUUUAUUUAUUUUUGUCUACGAAUUAUGAUUUUGACCGUCGUAUUGAAUUUUCAUAAUAUUUGACUUAUUAUAUCAGUGUACCUCACACGUAUAUACGGUGUAUAAAUGAUUUAUAAAUGAUUUUAUUAUGAUGAAUGAAGAGGGCAGUGGCGGAUCUAUGUUUUUGUUUUAGGAAGACCUUAAGUCUUUCAAUAAAUUAUAAAAUACACGACUCUAAUCUGUAAAUUAUAGAUAAGAUUAUUCUAAA